rnacentral:rRNA from 1 species
UAAGUAUUAUAUUAUUAUUAUAUAUUUUGUUUAUUUUAUAUUUAGUAAAAAUAAUUUGUUGUUUAGUAAUGUUUUAUGAAUAAUGUUUAUUUUAUUAUAGUUUAUUGUACUGUAAAGGAAUUAUUAUUUUUUUGUAAAAGUAUACUUUUUGUAGUACCUUUUGUAUCAGGGUUUAUUAAAAUUUAUUUAAUUAUAUUAAUUUUCCCGAAAGUAAAGGAUAUAAGAUUAUAUAAUUUUUUAUGUUUUAUAAUAAUUUUUAAUAUAAUCUUAGGAAUUAUAUGUUAUUCAUUUUUAUAUAUCUGGUUCUUUAAUAAUUAAAUUUAAUUUAUGAUAUUUAUUUAGUUUAUUUAUAUUUUUAUUUAUUUAAAUUUAAAUUUCAAGGAUUACUAGGGAUAAGCUUGGUAUUUAUUCUAUAAUUUUAUUAUUAUUUAAAUUCUGUAGGAUUAAUAACGUCCAUCUUUAAUUUCGUUAUAGUUUUGUUUAAAUUUGUAUUUUAUUUAAUGAUUAUUUAGUUUUUUAUUAAAGUAAAUUAUUUAAUUAUAUUUUGUUUGUAAUAAUGAUAGAAUUAGUAGAUUAUAAAUUUAUAUUUAGUAACUCGGCAAUUAAUAUUCCCGCCUGUUUAACAAAAACAUGUCUUAUAGAUAAUAAUUUUAAGUCUGGCCUGCUCAAUGAAUUUAUUUUAAUAGCCAUGGUAUUUUAACUAUGCAAAGGUAGCAUAAUCAUUUGUCUUUUAAUUGAAGGCUUGUAUGAAAGGUUUGACGAGGGAUAGACUUUCUUAAUUUAAAUUUAAUUUAAUUUAAUAUCUGAGUAAAAAGGCUUAGAUAGUGUUUUGGGACGAGAAGACCCUAUAGAAUUUUAUUAUUAUAUUAAUGUUCUUGUUAUUGUAUUAAUGGGGAUUUAUUUAUAAUAAUUUUGUUGGGGCGACAGUAGAAUUUCUUUAACUUCUAUUCUUUAUAUUUCAUUAAUUAGUGUUUUAAUGAUCCUUUAUUAUGGAUUAUAAGAUUAAAUUACCUUAGGGAUAACAGCGUAAUUUUUUUGGAGAGUUCUUAUCGAUGAAAUAGUUUGCGACCUCGAUGUUGGAUUAAAGUUAAUUAUUGGUGCAGAAAUUAAUAAAUUAGGUCUGUUCGACCUUUAAAUCUUUACAUGAUCUGAGUUCAGACCGGCGUGAGCCAGGUUGGUUUCUAUCUAAAAUUUUUUUAAAUAGUUUAGUACGAAAGGAUCUACUAUUUUUAAUACUUAAUUUAUUUUUGAUUUAUAUU